rnacentral:rRNA from 1 species
UACGAAGGGGGCUAGCGUUGCUCGGAAUUACUGGGCGUAAAGCGCACGUAGGCGGCUCUUUAAGUCGGGGGUGAAAUCCUGGAGCUCAACUCCAGAACUGCCUUCGAUACUGGCUUUCUAGAGGCUGGAAGAGGUUAGUGGAAUUCCCAGUGUAGAGGUGAAAUUCGUAGAUAUUGGGAAGAACACCAGUGGCGAAGGCGGCUCACUGGUCCGGUACUGACGCUGAGGUGCGAAAGCGUGGGGAGCAAACAGG